AUGAAAACGAAGAGGGAGAAAGUAAUUGGAAGUCAAGUCAUUUCAGCCGAACUUGUGGCUGGACUACUACUCAGCGUGGCGUAUAGAAUGUGUUCCAGUUUGGCCUUUUCCUCAGAGGCCUUCCUUUCACUGUUGGGAGUCUGCAGAGAGGCACACAUUCAAGGAACAGACUGCAGACAUCUUCCCAUGGUGGAUAUGGCGGUGUUCUUGUUCUUUCUUCUAAGCAGUUUGAUUCUUUUGAUCUUGGAUCACAAUCAGUUGAAAGGCUCUUUGAAACGAUCUGAACUGCUCACUAAGCCCCAGAGGUUUUUCCUUCAAAUGGAUUUUUUUGCCAACUGCAUUUGUGGCCUCAUGUGGUUGGUUUUUCCAGGAUGGCUUCUUGGGUCACAGAUUAAUGGAUCUGAGGAUCAUCUUUAUCUCACUCGGGCAUUUGGAGCCAUGAUGGUUGGAGACAGUUUUGUUUCUUUUACCACACAGAAACAAAUGGGAACCAAUGAGGUAUCUGUCUUCAGCAGCCGGGCUGUGGGAACUUCCGCGGUUGUCAUCUUCAUGAUCCACACCCAGCUCACCACAUCGGCAUGGAAAACCCCACAUCUCUGUUUGGGUCUAGUAGGGGUCAGUCUCUGGGCUGGAAACUCCAUCCUUGGCUACCUGAGCUCCAAAGACACGAAGACACAGUCAGUGAAUGAUAUAUACUGGCGUGCUGUACAGAGAAAAGACAGAAGACUUAAUGUGCAAUAGAUAUUUUGUCAUAUGCAUAUAUAUUAUGACAUCAUUGUGUGCAUUUCAAUGCUUUAUGAUGUUUUUGACAACCUAUACUGUAAAUAUAAUUGUUUAAUGAAUAUUAAAUAGAUGUAUUCUUUUGUAAAUAAUGGGUCUUUUUAAUUUAUACUCAUAAAUAUUGUAAACAUUGAAAAUAUCACUUUCAAUAUGCAAUGUAUAUAUGAACCGCCUCUUUUCACACAUUCAGGUGUUGAGUCAUUCUCCUGCAAUAAAAACUGAAAAAAUAUGAAUUGUGCA
ensembl:lncRNA